UGUAGCUCUCAGGGUCAGGGCCUAGAGGAAGGGUCUGUGGACAAAACAGGAGCCCUUAGAGCGUUUUGUUUAAGAAUAAGAGAAACUAACUAAAUGAUACAAACUGAGAAGUAACUCAGCUGCAUGUGCCUGCAAAUUCUCUUACACUAUAGGAAAGGCCAGUUGUCUGCCUGAACCACAGCAUCUGAGGAGGACUUUCCCGGUUUGUUCUACUCUGUACUGCCGUUAAAAACAACAACAUCAGCAACAACAACAUGUAUAUAAUUGAGGUUAAGAACUCCUUUCUUAAAGGAUGAUCAAGUGAGGCUGUGUUAAAUCCUGAAAGGCAGUUCCUAAAGUCUCCGUGCAGAACAUCCUGCCUCCCAUCUCUGCAGAUCUGGAAGCCAUUAGCUGUAGUUGGCUGAUCUCAGUUCCUGAAGGAAGGAGGGCGGAACACCAGUCUCUAAGGUAACGAGCACAGACAAGCUGGUAAACAUGUAUAUGUCGUCACCAUUGCCUGCCUGCGGAGAUAGCACCAGAAUGGAUUGACUUUGGGAGCUUUAAACUUUAAGACUGAAAUCAUUUGCAUAAUGAUGAAUAAACUGUAUGUUGAGAGUCA
rnacentral:lncRNA from 1 species